GGCUGGUCCCAGUACAGUGGUGUUCACAAGUAAUUGAUGGUAACCACACAACAAGUUACAGGUUCCUUUAUUUCUUCUCCAUUCCUACUGCUUCACUUGACUAGCCUAAA
rnacentral:Y_RNA from 1 species